GCGACAGGCUUAACACAUGCAAGUCGAGGGGCAGCGGGGGUAGCGAUACCCGCCGGCGACCGGCGCACGGGUGAGUAACGCGUAUGCAACUUGCCUAUCAGAGGGGGAUAACCCGGCGAAAGUCGGACUAAUACCGCAUGAAGCAGGGGCCCCGCAUGGGGAUAUUUGCUAAAGAUUCAUCGCUGAUAGAUAGGCAUGCGUUCCAUUAGGCAGUUGGCGGGGUAACGGCCCACCAAACCGACGAUGGAUAGGGGUUCUGAGAGGAAGGUCCCCCACAUUGGUACUGAGACACGGACCAAACUCCUACGGGAGGCAGCAGUGAGGAAUAUUGGUCAAUGGCCGAGAGGCUGAACCAGCCAAGUCGCGUGAGGGAUGAAGGUUCUAUGGAUCGUAAACCUCUUUUAUAAGGGAAUAAAGUGCGGGACGUGUCCCGUUUUGUAUGUACCUUAUGAAUAAGGAUCGGCUAACUCCGUGCCAGCAGCCGCGGUAAUACGGAGGAUCCGAGCGUUAUCCGGAUUUAUUGGGUUUAAAGGGUGCGUAGGCGGCCUUUUAAGUCAGCGGUGAAAGUCUGUGGCUCAACCAUAGAAUUGCCGUUGAAACUGGGGGGCUUGAGUAUGUUUGAGGCAGGCGGAAUGCGUGGUGUAGCGGUGAAAUGCAUAGAUAUCACGCAGAACCCCGAUUGCGAAGGCAGCCUGCCAAGCCAUUACUGACGCUGAUGCACGAAAGCGUGGGGAUCAAACAGGAUUAGAUACCCUGGUAGUCCACGCAGUAAACGAUGAUCACUAGCUGUUUGCGAUACACUGUAAGCGGCACAGCGAAAGCGUUAAGUGAUCCACCUGGGGAGUACGCCGGCAACGGUGAAACUCAAAGGAAUUGACGGGGGCCCGCACAAGCGGAGGAACAUGUGGUUUAAUUCGAUGAUACGCGAGGAACCUUACCCGGGUUUGAACGCAUUCGGACCGAGGUGGAAACACCUUUUCUAGCAAUAGCCGUUUGCGAGGUGCUGCAUGGUUGUCGUCAGCUCGUGCCGUGAAGUGUCGGCUUAAGUGCCAUAACGAGCGCAACCCUUGCCACUAGUUACUAACAGGUAAAGCUGAGGACUCUGGUGGGACUGCCAGCGUAAGCUGCGAGGAAGGCGGGGAUGACGUCAAAUCAGCACGGCCCUUACAUCCGGGGCGACACACGUGUUACAAUGGCGUGGACAAAGGGAGGCCACCUGGCGACAGGGAGCGAAUCCCCAAACCACGUCUCAGUUCGGAUCGGAGUCUGCAACCCGACUCCGUGAAGCUGGAUUCGCUAGUAAUCGCGCAUCAGCCAUGGCGCGGUGAAUACGUUCCCGGGCCUUGUACACACCGCCCGUCAAGCCAUGGGAGCCGGGGGUACCUGAAGUCCGUAACCGAAAGGAUCGGCCUAGGGUAAAACUGGUGACUGGGGCUAAGUCGU
rnacentral:rRNA from 1 species